UUUGUAAGUCAGUGGUGAAAGCCCGUCGCUUAACGGCGGAACUGCCAUUGAUACUGCAAGUCUUGAGUAUGGUUGAGGUGGGCGGAAUGUGUCAUGUAGCGGUGAAAUGCUUAGAUAUGACACAGAACACCGAUUGCGAAGGCAGCUCGCUAAGCCAUAACUGACGCUGAGGCACGAAAGCGUGGGGAGCAAAACAGGAUUAGAUACCCUGGUAGUCCACGCCCUAAACGAUGAUAACUCGAUGUUGGCGAUACACAGUCAGCGUCUAAGCGAAAGCAUUAAGUUAUCCACCUGGGAAGUACGACCGCAAGGUUGAAACUCAAAGGAAUUGACGGGGCCCGCACAAGCGGAGGAGCAUGUGGUUUAAUUCGAUGAUACGCGAGGAACCUUACCUGGGCUUGAAAGUUAGUGACCGUCCCUGAAAGGGGACCUUCAGCAAUGACACGAAACUAGGUGCUGCAUGGCUGUCGUCAGCUCGUGCCGUGAGGUGU
rnacentral:rRNA from 1 species